CAGUGGGUCCCUCCCACAAGCAACCAACAGUCAAUGAGCAAGCCUUAGAGAAGGAUUCAGCCAAUAGUUGGGGAGAGUGGUGGCUGUCAAGCUCAGAGUGAGAAACCCUGAUGCAUGAAGUCAUAAGGACCUGGAAGGACCCUGUGGAAAAAGUCUGCCACCUUAUUGACCAGGAUAUCUCGCCUACAUGAAGCUAUUCCAGAGGAAAUAUGGGCUGUCAGUGCUCCAAGAAGGAUCCACUCAGGUCAACACUGAUCACUCAUGGAUAUCAAAGUAACAACAGUUGGAUCUGUGCUUCCCAUGGGAAGCAUUUCCAUAAACAUCUUCAAACUUAA